UUUCUUUUAAAAUGGUCUCUUUUAAACUGUGAUGUAAAUAAUCACAUAGGAGAUAUCAGAAGUGAGGACAUGUUCCGUCCAAUGUCCUUGUUUUCUCACUUGUCUUGAUUAAGAGAAUGGGGCUCAUUUAUUAGUCCCUUUCUUUCUUCCUUUAUGGAAAGUGUAGUAUUUGUAGAAAAUAAUGAUGUAUCACUGAAGCAACUGAAACUGAAGCAAAAUGUAUAGCCUGUUAUGACAGUGAUAGUCCAGAGGGGUAAUGCAGUCUUGAUACAAUAAAUAUGAGAUCGUUGUUUUGUGUCACAGCAAAUGUAAAGUCUCCUUUCUAUAGCUGGGCUGAUAGCCUUGGUUAUCUCUUGCGCCAUUGUGCCAUUCAAUUUACUAUGUAGUGAUUGUCUAAUACAAUGAAAACCAGAAAAUCUUCCACUGAGCAAUGCCAUGCUGUCACCUAGUUCUUUCCAGGAAGAAAACAGGAUUGGAACAGAUGAUUACAAUGAAGAAGCACCGUUUUAUAUUGGAUGAUGGCGAAUAUGGCAUUUUUUUCAGCUACAUUGUGUGACUAACAGCACAAAACCUUAGGCUUUGCCCCAGCAGAAUGAGUGACAUAUAUGACUCACUGUCCUGCGUGAUCUGCUGUUUUUUUCUUGGACGUCUUCCUGGUAUGGCAUGCUCCAAGGAAGAUCAACAAUAUAGUAUUAGCAUAUUUCCGAAAGCCUAUGGACAAGGUAGAUUUCUGAACAAUUGUUCCAAAGGAUGGUACUCAAGACCCAUUCAGGGGGUCUGCAAAAUCAAAACUGGGCAUUAUUGGCCCUUCUGCUAUGUUGGAACUUGCACCGAUGGUUCAAAAAUAGUGGUGGCUAAAAUAGCUGGGGCCUGA
rnacentral:lncRNA from 1 species